AUUGAACGCUGGCGGCAGGCCUAACACAUGCAAGUCGAGCGGAGCGGCGGACGGGUGAGUAAUGCCUAGGAAUCUGCCUGGUAGUGGGGGAUAACGUCCGGCAAGGGGCGCUAAUACCGCAUACUUUCCGCUAGACCUGGGUGGGAUUAGCUAGUUGGUGGGGUAAAGGCCUACCAAGGCGACGAUCCGUAACUGGUCUGAGAGGAUGAUCAGUCACACUGGAACUGAGACACGGUCCAGACUCCUACGGGAGGCAGCAGUGGGGAAUAUUGGACAAUGGGCGAAAGCCUGAUCCAGCCAUGCCGCGUGUGUGAAGAAGGUCUUCGGAUUGUAAAGCACUUUAAGUUGGGAGGCGUUACCAACAGAAUAAGCACCGGCUAACUUCGUGCCAGCAGCCGCGGUAAUUC
rnacentral:rRNA from 1 species